CAAUUAAAUAUAUGGAGAAUGCUGCAUCCCCUGUCUCUUUAGGAGCUAUCUAGUGUACCUUGAGAAAUCACAGAUUCUAAAGAGCUUUGUGGGGAAGAAGUUGGUCGAACUUUGUUUAACCUUGUGAUUCUCAAACUCAUUUGCUCACAAAUCCUUCCCAGUAAUAUGCAUCACUCAUCACCAAAGCUUUUUGGCUCACAUAGGGCUUGGAUGUGAUACACUGCCAGUGUUCACGGACUGAGGAAGACCAUGUGGGCAAGCAGCUGGGGACAGGGCAAGCUUGGUGGAGGAGGAACAGUUUGUGUAGAUGCCACUUUUCUUAGCAUCCAGCGAGCUGGCUCAACAAAAGUAUUGAGCAGUAUUCCUUCAAGUCAGAAAGGUACCAAAUUGAGUCAGUUUUUCAUCAGUGUGACCUUUGGCAAGUCCUUCAGUCUCUUUCAGUUCAGUUUUCUCAUCAGCGAAUGCAGAUCGAUCGUGACACUUAACCACAUAGGUUUAUGGGGAAAGUUACAAAUGAUACAUGUAAAGUACCUGGCACAUAAUAGCAGCUUAGGAAAAAGUAUCCAAUGUUGGGAUUAUUAUUAUCAGAAUUAUUUAGAUCUUUCUUAAGUCUUUUGUGAGAACCAAUAACGAACAUAUUUACUAACUAAAUGAGUGUAGAAGUGGCUUACUCAAGGUUACAUAGCUUAUUAAUAGUAGAGCUGGGACUACAUUUUUCUUCUCUUAGGUCUUGGCUCAGUGUCAUUUUCAUUACACUGGACCAAGGGUCCUUUUGUCUAUUUCAUGAUUAAAGGGACUCAGCACAAGUACUUUCAGUGUGCUGAAUGGACCAUUUUGUCUUGGCCUUGGAGAGAGGCAUGUGACAUGAUUCAGAAGCCACAGGGUGCCACAGGGAUUAUUGUGUCAGUUGUGUUCUGCAUCUGUGUUAAUAACCUAGAAAAGGUUGUAAAGAAUAUGCUAAUUAAAUCUGUAUAUUGCUCUAAAUGGAGAGGUAUUACAAACCCCACCAAUGACAGAGACGUGACAUAAAGGGACCUGGAGCUGUCAGGCAUAUGGACAGGAAAUCACUAGAUGAGAUUCAGCUGCAGUAAAUGCUUCCUAAUACAGCUGGGGACAAAUAAUGUGAAAUACAGAUAUUCAAUGGGAGGAAGAUAUUUGGAAAGCAGUAAAUGCUGAAGGGGACCUAGGGGAUAGUGGACAGCAAAUUAGAUAUGGGUUUUCAUUGUGUUAGGCCAACAGAAAUUGGUAAUGCAAUCUUGCACUUGUUUUCCAGCAGUCCCCUGAAGCAGCUGGGAGGAAAAGCUUCUUUCCCCAGCCAAGAUCAAGCGUGCUUGGCCUGCACACUCCUGCAGAAGGCUUGGCUGGGGCUGGGAUGGAGGCAGAGGUCACUUUACUGCCCCAUGACCCUUACCCUGUAGGCAUGAUGAUAUCUUCCAUUCCCUAAGCCCCGCCUCCACCCCGUGUCCCUGGAGAGUGGCUGUGUGUUUCUGUGGAGCAAUGCUGUGAGGUGCUGUUUGGGGACAGGAGGACAGUCCUGCAUGGAAAUCCCUCCACUGUGCUGGGGGAAGUUUGGCUCCGGCUGCUCAUUUCCAGCCCCCUGGCUCACUCCACAGGAAAGGCCCAGUUCCUCCUGAAUUCAGAGCACUCCACUGCAGGGGGUGCUGCCCAGUGGGGUAAGUUUACCUGGAGCCCCCUCCAAGCCUUUGGAAAGGAGUCUUGCUCUUGCUACCCUCCAUUUCUACUUCUCCCUCCCUGGGAGCGCCUCAUCUUUCAGACAGUUCUUCAGGGCCUUCUUGGGAGUGGAUGUGACAGUGGGGCUAGUAAAAGUCAGAAGAUACUUGCAAAGCUGGAGAAUUUCUUUGCUCGUCUCUUCAACCAGCUUUGGCUUCAUCCACUCAGACUGCCUCUUCAUACCCAUGUUGGAGCUUGUGUGCAGGGUAAUUUAGUUUAGACCUGCCAUUGUCACUCAACACUCAUAAAUAAUUGAUCGUUAAAGUUACUCCUUGAAUGUGUUUAAGUAUUUGAGUCCCUUCUCCAUGGUUCCCACGUGGAUAAGUACUUGUGUGCUUGUGGCAGGAGAGGGUGGCUCUCCUGUCAUGGAAGGCCCUGAAUGGGAAGGCGUCACUGUGGAAGAACUUGAGCUCUCAGCCCUGGUAGGUCAUGGAUAUAAAUGGAUGGCAGCUGCCUGCACGGUGAUUUAUGAGAGACGUUCCCAGCCAAAGGAAGCCAGGCACAUUCUGGAACUGCAGACCGCUGUGUACAGACCAUCUUAGUAUAUUUAGCAAAUGAGAUUGCAAACCACAAGGAAAAAAAA